AUACGGAGGGUGCGAGCGUUAAUCGGAAUUACUGGGCGUAAAGCGUACGUAGGCGGUUGGUUAAGUUAGAUGUGAAAGCCCCGGGCUUAACCUGGGAACUGCAUUUAAAACUGGCGAACUAGAGUUGAGUAGAGGGGAGUGGAAUUUCAGGUGUAGCGGUGAAAUGAGUAGAGAUCUGAAGGAAAACAAGUGGCGAAGGCGACUCCCUGGACUCGAACUGACGCUGAGGUACGAAAGCGUGGGUAGCAAACGGGAUUAGAAACCCCAGUAGUCC
rnacentral:rRNA from 1 species